CACCACUACAGGCACUGAGAGGACAUAACAUCAGAGAGCGGCUCCUCUGCCCUCCAAAACAACAACUUUCCUACCAUCUUGAAGGGUAGGCCCUGUGGAGAAGCUAGGGGGGAUUUAAUGCAGGUGAGUGGAACCUGUGAUAUAUAUCUGAGAAAUUCUGCUAAUCUGUCAUAAAUUUAGUAUUGUCUGCCCUUCAGGAUGGGAUGUGAAAAAAUAAAGCUCAGCAAGAAAUUUGAAAGCAAUAGUUGAAUUUUGGUUUUAAUAUUUUCAAAGCACUUUGUAGCCUUCUAAAAUCUGUUUUGGUUCUUUUUAAGUUACUGUUUUGAUUUGGGAGCUUUGUUCCUGAUAUUUAUGAAUACUGUUAUUCCUGACUUCAUCUUUGUACAGAGUUGAGAAAUGCUAUUAAUUUAUACUACGGUAUCUUGUAAUAUAAGAGAGUCAUGUUUUUCUUUGUUGCAGAUAUUUUUAUUAGCUUGUAAAAAAUGUAUGAAAUGCUGUCAAAACAAUGUGAGGUGCUACCGUGUAUCUAUAGGUGAAGACACUGAUCACUGUAUUCAGCAGAUAUAUCAUAAUGUUUCUUGAAAUAGGAUUAUGCACAGCCCUGUUUAGAGAUGAGCUACAAAGAUGCCUUUUUAUUUGUCCUGAAGGAAGAGGAAAUAAUUAGGAAACUAAUGAGUUAUACA